AACGAACGCUGGCGGCACGCCUAACACAUGCAAGUCGAACGCUCCGCAAGGGGAGUGGCGAACGGGUGAGUAACGCGUGGGAACCUGCCCAGUAGUUGGGGAUAACCGCGGGAAACUGCGGCUAAUACCGAAUACGCCCUAAGGGGGAAGAUUUAUCGCUAUUGGAGGGGCCCGCGUCGGAUUAGCUGGUUGGUGAGGUAACGGCUCACCAAGGCGACGAUCCGUAGCUGGUCUGAGAGGAUGANCAGCCACACUGGGACUUAGACACGGCCCAGACUCCUACGGGAGGCAGCAGUGGGGAAUAUUGGACAAUGGGAGCAACCCUGAUCCAGCAAUGCCGCGUGAGUGAUGAAGGCCUUAGGGUUGUAAAGCUCUUUUACCGGGGACGAUGAUGACGGUACCCGGAGAAUAAGCCCCGGCUAACUUCGUGCCAGCAGCCGCCGCCGU
rnacentral:rRNA from 1 species